rfam:Proteus mirabilis strain HI4320, complete genome
UUGGAUAGCUGAAUUAGAGAUUGGCUAUCUGAAAAUUUUACUUUUAUUGGAGUUUUAUUAUGUCUCUAAGUACUGAAGCGAAAGCAAAGAUCGUUGCUGAAUUCGGUCGUGAUGCU